CCGAAUUGUCGGCACGAGUUGUUGCUGGUCCUCAGAUGGGGGCAUGUGCACGCUCUGUCUACACAUCCACUCACACCUGUGCACCCUCUGUAGUUCUGUGGCCUGGGCGACUCUGUCCCCUUGCUGUGGUUCUAUGUCUUUACACACACACUGUAAUAAAGUCUUAUGGAAUGCAUGUCGCGUUUAACGCAAUACAAUA
rnacentral:misc_RNA from 1 species